rnacentral:tRNA from 1 species
CGGACGCCUGGCGGGGGUCCUCGAUGUCGGCGGCUUCGGGCCGGCGGAUCCGGCGCUCGACCUCGUCGGCGCCUGGC